GUGCAGCAGGCGCGAAAACUCCGCAAUGCGCGAAAGCGUGACGGGGUCACCCCGAGUGCCGUCCGCUGAGGAUGGCUUUUGCCUGGUCUAACCAGCCGGGUGAAUAAGGGGAGGGCAAGUCUGGUGUCAGCCGCCGCGGUAAUACCAGCUCCCCGAGUGGUUGGGACGAUUAUUGGGUCUGAAGCGUCCGUAGCCGGCCGGAAAAGUUCCCCGUUAAAUCUGGCGAUCCAAUCGUUGGGCUGCGGGGAAUACUCUUCGGCUUGGGGGCGAGGGAGGUCGGCGGUAGUCCCGGGGUAGGGGCGAAAUCCUAUAAUCCCGGGAGGACCACCAGUGGCGAAGGCGGCCGACUAAAACGCGCCCGACGGUGAGGGACGAAAGCUGGGGGAGCGAACGGGAUUAGAUACCCGGGUAGUCC
rnacentral:rRNA from 1 species